rnacentral:misc_RNA from 1 species
GAUGAAGAACGUAGCGAAAUGCGAUAAGUAGUGUGAAUUGCAGAAUUCAGUGAAUCAUCGAAUCUUUGAACGCACAUUGCGCCCCUUGGUAUUCCAUGGGGCAUGCCUGUUCGAGCGUCAUUUGUACCUCCAAGCUCUGCUUGGUGUUGGGUGUUUGUCUCGCCUCUGCGUGUAGACUCGCCUCAAAACAAUUGGCAGCCGGCGUAUUGAUUUCGGAGCGCAGUACAUCUCGCGCUUUGCACUCAUAACGACGACGUCCAAAAGUACAUUUUUACACUCUUGACCUCGGAUCAGGUAGGGAUACCCGCUGAACUUAAGCAUAUCAAUAAGCGGAGGA